CCUUCAGCCAGCCACAGAGAAGUUUAAGAUGACACAUGCCACCUCCUGCUCCAGGAAGCCUCUGUUUCCUGUUCUGGUGCAGGAGCAGCUCAUAGCCCAGUGGUUCCUCCAUUACCCUGUGGGGCUCCCCUCCCAGUGCAGAGCCUGAAAUCCAAGAGGAAACAGAUCCUUUUCAUCUAGAGGAAGAACACCAACAUGGUGCUGCCCAGGCUGCUGAAGCUGGUCAUGGUGUCUGUGUGGCUGGGAUCCAGUUCUGCCCAGAAGGUGACUCAGGCCCAGCCAGCCAUGUGGGUGCAGGAGAAGGAGGCUGUGAGCCUGCUCUGCUCCUAUGACGCCAGUGGUACAAAUUAUGGUCUCCUCUGGUACAAGCAGCCCAGCAGUGGGGAGAUGGUCUUCCUCAUCCUUCAGACCUCUUACAGCCAGCAAAAUGCCACAGAAGGUCGCUACUCAGUGAAUUUGCAGAAGGCAAGCAAAUCCAUCCAGCUUGUCAUCUCAGCCUCACAGCUGGGGGACUCAGCAGUGUAUUUCUGUGCACUGAGAGAUGGCACUGUGAGAGAACUGUUGGAGGCAGUUGUACAAAAACCCAGGGUCUGCCUGAGACAGCCACCUGCUGCAGGGACCAAGGUAGACAAUUACCACCCCAGACAAGAAGUGGCCAGGGCUGUGGCAGCUCAUGUCUGGGGUUGGAGGGAAAACACUCACUCUGAGGAACCUCUCUCUAGGUUCAUAGACCACAUCAGAGUUCUCACUAAUCAAACCAGCCAUAUUCCAUAA